UGGCUAUGGACAUCGAACGCCUAUGACAGGCGACUAGACACCUUAGAGGGGCUAGCAGGUUUUACCAGUUGGCACACAUGCUAGGUUUUCGAAUGGGAGUAAUUGAGAACUCCGCCAGCGGUACCUCCGUAAUACACUAAACAGGCUUUUCGUACAACGUACUUAGCUGUACCGGGUAUAAGUACAGCCGCAGCAUACUCAUUAAAGCAAAGGAGACAGCGAACAAGUGCCCACUCGUGGAACCCAGCCCUCCCCUUCCGAUGGGUUUCGGUUUCAGACUGUCUACCAACGUCAUGACAGUAACGAGCUUCACCUCCUGCGUUUUGUUAUACAGAAGGCAAAUUUUCAUCAUGUGAACUUCAGUAAAAAGGAAAGAAAACGAAUCACAAGCACCACCUUCCAUUCUUGUUACCUUAACAGGGUGUGGUGUGCUAUACAUUCAAUUAAAGGCGGU